rnacentral:rRNA from 1 species
GUCGAGGGCCAUAGCACCCUGAACGCGCCCCAUCUCGUCUGAUCUUGGAAGCUAAGCAGGGUCGGGCCUGGUUAGUGCUUGGAUGGGAGACCUCCUGGAAAUACCAGGUGCUCUAAGCU